rnacentral:snRNA from 1 species
AGCUUUGCACAGUGGCAGUAUCGUAGCCAAUGAGGUUUAUCUGAGGCAUGAUUAUUGCUAAUUGAAAACUUUUCACAAGAUCCUGGAACACAUGCACAGAACAGUUCCCAAAGCCCUGCAUGUAGACUUCUUGUGAGAACUCAAGCAACCAGGGAUCAAACUCAGGACAUUGCACUUGCAA